rnacentral:rRNA from 1 species
UACAGAGGUCCCAAGCGUUGUUCGGAUUCAUUGGGCGUAAAGGGUGCGUAGGUGGCCAACUAAGUCAGACGUGAAAUCCCUCGGCUUAACCGGGGAACUGCGUCUGAUACUGGAUGGCUUGAGUUUGGGAGAGGGACGCGGAAUUCCAGGUGUAGCGGUGAAAUGCGUAGAUAUUGGGAGGAACACCAGUGGCGAAGGCGGCUCGCUGGACCGGAACUGACGCUGAGGCGCGAAAGCGUGGGGAGCAAACAGG